rnacentral:lncRNA from 1 species
AGGGCCCCUCAGAGGGUAUUGGGGGUUCUGAGGGGGAAAUGGGGGACUUUGGGAAGCAAUUGUGAGGUCCCGGGGUGGGGAGUGAAUUGGGGUCCUGUGAGUGCCAAGGGGUUCCAUGAGGGGAACGGGGAUGCUGGGGUGGCACCUGAAGGGGGAAAACUCCUCAAAAACCUCCUUUCCCCAUCUUUUUUUCCCAGCUGCCGCCGCCAUGAGCCACCACCACGAGCACCUGGGCGACGGCCGCCCCCUCGCCGUCGCUGCCAGAAUCCCAAGCAAAUCCAAGCGCCUGCGGACCAAGCGGGAGCGCAACGCCGCCAAGUUCGGCGCCAAGAUGCCCUUGUGGGGCUCCCGGCGGGGCCUCGCCAUGCCCCAACGCUGGCUGCAGCCUCCCCCGUGGGGGGCUCUGGCUCUGGGGAGCCCCCUGCGCCCCCCGAAACCCGUGGUGAUCACUCAGAACCGCCUGUGCCACCGCGGCCUCUUCAACCGCGAGGUCAAAUCGCUGGACGUGCGGCGCCUGCUGACCCCCGGCAGGGCUGAGAGCCCCCCGGCCCCCCGGGCCGAGGAGGGGGAGGUCGGGGGGGUCCCGGGCGAGGCGCUGCAGGAGCUGGUGGCCGGCCUGGCCUCGCUGCUCGUGGGUCUGGGGGCGUUCGUGGGGCGGGAGCUGGUGAGCGAGCGGCACCGCGGCCUCGUGGCCACGCUCAGGAGGUACCGCCGGGGCGCCCCGGACCUGGGGGUCUUCCUGGCCCACCGGACCCCCGCCCAGCCCCCAGGUACCGCCCCGACGGGAGGGAGGAUUUUUUACCCCAAAUGGGUUUUUUUUACCUUUAUUUCCCCCCUCCCAAAUAAAGCGUUGUCUCCAGCAGGUCAGAAGGCACCCCAGGAAGAGGCGAGGCCAGGACCCCCAGGACCAGCGCUCAUUUUGGGGGAGUGGGAUGCGCAGGACCCCCCUGCUGGGACCCCCAGCCCACUUGGUGUUGUCGAUACACUCCCCCGUGCCCCCAGCCCCAUUUUUGGAGCCCUCGGAGAGCGGGAGGUGAGUGUGGGGUUUGGGGGGCCCGGGGGAGCCCCCCGCUGAUUUGGGGGGGUUUUCCUGACGCGCCCCCCUCCCCCCAGAACCCUUUCUCAUGGAGCUCGGCCGAGGAGGAGGAGGAGGAGGAGAGCCCCGGGGGGCUCCCCCAGACCUGGGCUGGUCCCGGGGGGCUCCCGCCGCCACCUCCCCCCUUUUGGAGGUCCCCACAGCCGCCCCAUGGGGC